rnacentral:tRNA from 1 species
ACUAUUUUGACAGAUAAAUGUAUUAGAUUUAGAAUCUAAUUAUGUAUAAUAAUACAUAUAGUA